ACCGGAUACGCCCUUUUGGGGAAAGGUUUACUGCCGGAAGAUCGGCCCGCGUCUGAUUAGCUAGUUGGUGGGGUAACGGCCUACCAAGGCGACGAUCAGUAGCUGGUCUGAGAGGAUGAUCAGCCACACUGGGACUGAGACACGGCCCAGACUCCUACGGGAGGCAGCAGUGGGGAAUAUUGGACAAUGGGCGCAAGCCUGAUCCAGCCAUGCCGCGUGAGUGAUGAAGGCCUUAGGGUUGUAAAGCUCUUUUAUCCGGGACGAUAAUGACGGUACCGGAGGAAUAAGCCCCGGCUAACUUCGUGCCAGCAGCCGCGGUAAUACGAAGGGGGCUAGCGUUGCUCGGAAUCACUGGGCGUAAAGGGCGCGUAGGCGGCGUUUUAAGUCGGG
rnacentral:rRNA from 1 species